UAAGCGGAGGAAAAGAAACUAACAAGGAUUCCCCUAGUAACGGCGAGUGAAGCGGGAAGAGCUCAAAUUUGAAAUCUGGUAGCCUUCGGUUGCCCGAGUUGUAAUCUAGAGAAGUGUUUUCCGUGCCGGCCCAUGUACAAGUCCCUUGGAACAGGGCGUCAUAGAGGGUGAGAAUCCCGUCCUUGACAUGGACCCCCGGUGCUUUGUGAUACACUUUCAACGAGUCGAGUUGUUUGGGAAUGCAGCUCAAAAUGGGUGGUGAAUUCCAUCUAAAGCUAAAUAUUGGCGAGAGACCGAUAGCGAACAAGUACCGUGAGGGAAAGAUGAAAAGCACUUUGGAAAGAGAGUUAAACAGUACGUGAAAUUGUUGAAAGGGAAACGAUUGAAGUCAGUCAUGCUCUUGGGACUUACCUCCCUUGAGUGGGGUCAACAUCAGUUUUGAUCGAUGGAUAAAGGCACGGGGAAGGUAGCACUCUCGGGUGAACUUAUAGCCUCGCGUCAUAUACAUUGAUUGGGACUGAGGAACGCAGCAUGCCUUAUGGCCGGGAUUCGUCCACGUACAUGCUUAGGAUGUUGACAUAAUGGCUUUAAACGACCCGUCUUGA
rnacentral:rRNA from 1 species